rnacentral:lncRNA from 1 species
UACAAUGUGACUGAGCGGGAAGUCCAGCAGGCCCUCCGACAGAAGACUGGGCGCCGGCUCCUCUGCGGGCUCAUCGUGGACACAGACUUGUCUUACUCAAGGACCAAGUAUCUGAUUGCUGAUAUAGCUCGUGGUACCUUCCAGGUACCUGGAAGUCUGGAAGAAUUUCAACUACCUUCCUACGAAGUUGCUGUCGCCUUUCUUCUUUUACUCUUUCCUCUUUCAUAAAUUUUACAAACUUCUUCCAUGUCCGAAGGGUGAUCCAGAGGAUCCUCCUUUAAGAAUAAAGAAGGAAAAAAGUGAAAUGUUGAGAAAAA